rnacentral:rRNA from 1 species
AGGACGAACGCUGGCGGCGUGCCUAACGCAUGCAAGUCGAGCGGAGUCGGUAAGAGGAAGUUUCGGAUGGAAUCUUAUUGAUUUAGCGGCGGACGGGUGAGUAACGCGUGAGCGACCAACCUUGCACAGGGGGAUAACGGACCGAAAGGUUCACUAAUACCGCAUGAGACCACGGUGUUGCAUGACACAGAGGUCAAAGGAGCAAUCCGGUGCAAGACGGGCUCGCGUUCGAUUAGGUAGUUGGAGGGGUAACGGCCCACCAAGCCUAUGAUCGGUAGCCGACCUGAGAGGGUGAUCGGCCACAUUGGAACUGAGAUACGGUCCAAACUCCUACGGGAGGCAGCAGUGGGGAAUAUUGGGCAAUGGGGGGAAAAACCCCUGACCCAGCAACGCCGCGUGAAGGAAGAAGGUUUUCGGAUUGUAAACUUCUGUCCUUGGUGAAGAGAAGAAGACGGUAGCCAAGGAGGAAGCCCCGGCUAACUACGUGCCAGCCGCUGC